rnacentral:lncRNA from 1 species
CUGUGCAGCCGCAAGGUCCCUAUGACAGAGAAGCUCUGAAGUGGGGCUUCAAAUCUCCAGGCCACUUUGCAACUCCCCUUACAUCUUUUAUACAUACUAUUUGUUUAAAGGUGAUUUUUAAAAGAAAAAAAAGAAAAGAAAGCUUGCAAACUUGUGCUCAAUGGAUUUGCAUAUUUUCCCAAAGAUCCCAAUUCAUCUCUCAUUCUCCUCUAGGAAGAUUAAUAUCAUCCAGCAGUCAGGGUUUAACAGAGAGUAAAGACUGCUCUGCAGCUUUGGAUCUUUGCAAUUGUUUUAAAAAUCCAUAAGUUUAAAUCAGUGAUUCACAGAUGCAAAUUCUAUGUUUAUCCCAACCUCUAAGCCUUCUGUGGCAUUUGAGUUUAUAACAGCUUUUGUAAAUGUUGAUUUAAGAUUUGGGAUUAAAGUAGGAACACACCACCUGUCUUAAAGUUGACAUAAAAGUUAUAAAAUGGGACGCUACACGUCUUCUAAUCCUUGUCUCUAAGCAGACCCAUAUGUAAAUUUCACACAGUAGUAUUUAGUAGCAUAAUUAAUCCCUACUUUAUGUUAUGAGUAAUAUUUCCUAUUCCCGACCCUGUAACGUCCUUUAAGAAGAUCCAUGUUCCAAUUAGACUAGCCCAUCGGCACUCUUUUAAUGAGCAGAUUAAUCAUUCAGAUGGGUACAACGGUGUCAUCACAGGUUUUAAAUAUGAUAAUCUACAUCCUAAUGGUGCUGCAAAGCCUUGGCUUAGAGCAAAAAAGGUAGACGAAAUUGGCGAGAGUUUCAUUUUGUUCUCGAUCUGGGACAAGGCAGGACACAGGAAACCUUGAAUAAUGCAGAGGGGCAGGUUUAGGAAAGUAAUCAUAAUUCAGUUACAACAAUUAUUUCUAGGGGAAGUCACAUUUGCCGGCUCCCCGAAAGCACAUGCUCGUAUGUUCAACUCUGAUGUGGAGAAAAAUUUUCCUAUUUUCUUGGCCAAACAGCUUUUCUUUUAGAACCCUAUUCCCAAUCCCCCCUCCUCAGAAAGGGCAUAGGGAGGCAACUUCCAAAGGAGAGCAGUUUUAAAAUAAAGUUAAUUUUGGUCAAGCGUGACCCAUAUUGAUCAAAAAGUUCCCCCACAGAGGUAUAGAGGGGGGAAAAAUGUCCUUCCAACUUGAUGACUACCUUUUUCACAUAGGCUUAUAAAAACUACUUAUUUGGAGUUCCCAUCGUGGCGCAGUGGUUAACGAAUCCGACGAGGAACCAUGAGGUUGCGGGUUCGGUCCCUGCCCUGGCUCAGUGGGUUAAUGAUCCGGCGUUGCCGUGAGCUGUGGUGUAGGUUGCAGACGCGGCUCGGAUCCCGUGUUGCUGUGGCUCUGGCGUAGGCCAGUGGCUGCAGCUCAGAUUAGACCCCUAGCCUGGGAACCUCCAUAUGCCAAAGGAAAAAAAAAAAAAAGAAAAUCAGCUGCUUUUAAGUAACUCUGGGUAGACCAGACUAACGGAGAUGCCACUGAAAACAUAAAUAUCAAGAGUUCUUCAGGAAGCAGUUAUAGGCCAAGAAAGGAGGCUCUUGGGAGUUUUAAUUUUUGCAGGAAUUCCAUGUGCUCUUCUGGUCAACUCAUCCUUGAGAGCUAAUGGGCAAAGUCAGGGAGAAGAGAAUGAACACAAACACGUCUCUAGAAAGUCUUCUGGGGGCUUUGCCAACUGAAAAUGCCUACCAGAAAAAAAAAAAAAAAUGGGGGAGAAACACACCUCGAACAAAAGAAAUCUACCCCUUUUAGGCUCAUGAAAAAAGACAGACCUGACAAGUACAACCAGUGAUCAGAUGUUUUAAUAUUGCCGAACACCAAGACUUUUGCUCCCAAUUUGGUUUAGUUCCACUAAUGAAUUUUAUAAAAUAUUUUAUCUGCCUGUUCCAUGCCCACAAACCACUCACAGGAGACUUGGAAAUCGUCAUUUCUUCCCGAAUGUAGAUAUCAGUUGGGCCCAUAUGCAAGAGCGGUCUGUUUAUUUUUCCCAUAAACCAUCGGUUUCAUAGAAACUCAUUAGCAUCACCUGUGUUAAUUACACUAGCAAACCAAUCAACAGCUCCUUCUUAAUUAGGUUUUCUUUAUUAAAGCCGGAAAUUGCCAAGGAGACAAAAGUCACCUGGGGAAAUUAUGUGAAAAGGAGUGUUUAUGCCAAAUUACACACUAAAAUAAUAAUAAAAUAGCCCGGUUUGUUUACAGGAAAAGGAAACAAUAUUAAUAUUCAAGGUCACUGGCACACUCCUUAUUAAUUAUUCUCGUUAUAUUAAAUUGUGAUCUUUUCUGCUUCAAGAGGCUUGGCUUAUAGAAAGUCUUUGUACUUGAAGUUGACUCACAUCAGAUUUUAAUGGCUGUGGUCAGCGAUUAUGACUUGCUUAUUCCAUAAACACGAGCACCCACGGGUUAAAGCAGUUAAUACUAAUUUCAUGAGCUCAUGUCCCAACUGUAACUCAAAGUCCUGUAUGUCUCUUAGCAAACCUAGAAAGGCACAUAAAAAUCUACUCUGAAAGGAAAAGAUGCACAUGUGACUCUUGGAAUUUGCAGUUCUCCUAAAAGAGAAAGGAAAAAAGACUUCCAAUCAUAUUCCUUUCACUUUCCAAGAGCCUUUCAGCAGAGGGGGGUGGUCAGGGCACUGAGAACACAAAAGCAGCUUUUAGAAGGAGAUUCUUUCUCUAAGGUUAGACUUAGAGGGAGGUUCCCCUGGGACCUUUAAACCAAGCCUGGCCAAAGCACUAGAAAGUAGAUUGCAGGGAGCUUCCUGCCCUGGUUGUGCGGAGGUGGAGAGGGAGGGGCAAUCCUGGGGACCUAAUAGGUCUUUUCAUCUUCGAUUGACUAUAAUGCUAAGUCCACUUAUCGUGGAUUCAAAAUCUAUCUCGGAAUAAUGAAAUCUGGGCACACCCAUCUAGAAAGUGGGGCUAACAAUGCUUAACGUGCGUCUUCCAAGAAGAAUUAGUUCAUAUUUAGAAAGUACUUUGAUGAAAAAAGUCACUGAGUGAGUGACAUUUGUUCUCAUUCCCACUGGUCCUAGGAACAAAAGCUUGUCCAGGAGGCCUGUGAAUUCUGGUUCUCUGUGGCCAAAUGAGCAAUUGUAAAAAGUCAACUAGAAGUGGGAGCUGGACCCGGAAGAAAUGCAGGCGUGGACUUGAACAAGCACACAUCCACGCAAUCACUUCUCAGCAUCAAGCCCAGGACCCCACAGUCCUAGCUCUCAGUGGUUCCCUUCUGAGGGUCUUCUUGGCUUCUGUGUGGGUGGCCAAGUGUCCAGUGAAUGAAUAUUCAUUGGAAAUCAAGAAGCAUUUGCUGCAAGCCUCAUUAAGAACUUUUUUUUUUCCUAGAACAAAUGCC